rnacentral:rRNA from 1 species
UUUGAUGGCGACCGGCGCACGGGUGAGUAACACGUAUCCAACCUGCCGAUGACUCGGGGAUAGCCUUUCGAAAGAAAGAUUAAUACCCGAUGGCAUAGUUCUUCCGCAUGGUGGAACUAUUAAAGAAUUUCGGUCAUCGAUGGGGAUGCGUUCCAUUAGGUUGUUGGCGGGGUAACGGCCCACCAAGCCUUCGAUGGAUAGGGGUUCUGAGAGGAAGGUCCCCCACAUUGGAACUGAGACACGGUCCAAACUCCUACGGAGGCAGCAUG